UAAAGCGCAGGCUACAUGUUUGUUAGUCCAGUCAACUACCAACACGUUACUCUUAAAACUUCACAUACCCGAUUUUUUCCAAAACAUCUUUGUCAUUACAAUUUCGUGUCCAUACAGCGAUUCUAUAGAAUCCUUUCCUCAUAUUGCAAACUACACCAGUAACUUCUUUCCCAGUAGGGUCUAAUGUUUCUCCAAUGGCUGCCAGCACCUAUUUCCAUACGUUAAUACUUUCAACUUAAAAAUUAACAUUCUGUAAAGUCGAUAUCACAGCAGUUAAAAUGAACAGACCAUGACUUACCAUAUACAGCCACAACUCGUCGAGAUUUGAACCUUUGUGCUUGCUUUGGUAGGCCCAUUUCCCACCAUUCAUGUUUUGAGGAUCCUCCCAUUCAGGACGAAUACCUUUCAAAAAGUAAGAGUAGUCCGAUUUGGCGGGAAGCAUCGAAGCUUUUGAGAUCGUCUUAAAGAUGCCCCAAAACUCUUCCACUGUCUUGAAGGAAAUAAUCUCUUUAAGAAGAUCACUCCAUUCAAGACCUUGUGUAGGUGGUUUCAAAAACCACAAUGUCCAUUCAUGCUGAAGGGGGUGUGUUUUUACAAAUGCAGUUUCAGCAUUAACAGCCGAUAGACCUUCAAGAAGGCGCGCUGGACGUCCCUCUCUUUCAGUUUUAACUUUUGGUGACCCAAAUAAAUCCAAUAGAUCUAGUUUUUCUGUGAUUAAGGAAGUGUUGGGAAAACCCUCAUUUUUUGAGUGACGCGAGUCUUCUGCAUCUGCCAUUUGCUUUUUUUAAAAAAACAAAAAUAUUAAAAGAGCUUAAAACGUUUUUAUAAUAGGCAGUUUGUAAACUAGGCUGGAUGCUGAAAAGAUGCGGUGGUCGUAAUUGGGUUACGAGAUCCAAGCAAAAGCAACUUUCAACACACUGUUCCUGUAAAAUAUAAUUGUACAUUCAUACCUUAAAUAUUGGCUAAGUAUAUAUAAAAAGUCAAUAAUCAGCCUUAAAGCUUUACAGUAAAUUAUUUGUUUGAUUGGAAAUGCACGAGUAUAAUCAAAUUUCACACAGCUUUUUAUCUGCAUACUAUUAUAAUUCGUGAAAUCAAAUUUGUUCCCCUUACGUGUCAAAUUGUUAAAAAUCAUUUUGUAAUUACAAAGAUGCAUAAAGCUAUGUUGUAUAUCUAAGAAUCAUUUAAAUCUCAAAAACAAUGUUGCAAAAUGUAGAACCUUUCUCCAUUUCAAUCAAAAAACAGCUUGAUCUAGUACUACAAAAACACCACCAGUUAAAUGCAGACUUCCGGUGACACAAACAAAAGUAUUCCUGGAUUUUUGCUUAAUUGACAUCACUGUCUCAAUAGCUUCUUGGAUGGUAGGGGCUACUGUUGCUUCACUAGUCGUGCCCUUCGAUUCUUUCCACCAUUUACAUAAAUCCUCUUGUACAUGCAAAACGGGCUUAUUAUCAGUAAUGGUAUUAAUGCUUAACAGCUCUGGAUUAUAGCCUGCAUCCUUCCAGGUGACAUUGGUUGAGAAUAUAACAUGCGUAAACGAAAUCCCAGUUCCCGAGCUUUCCAAUCCUUUUAAGAAGGACCUAAGUAAAGCAAUUGGAUCAUCCCUGCUUUGCUGGUUAAACAGAAGAAUACGGGCAUCUGCAUCCUCAUAAAGAUUCUUCUUGGAUGCGAGCCAAAGUCCAGUGGCCUCCAAACUUUCCUUGGUGUGGGCUCCAUCAAAACACCAUUUUAUGUUGUUGAUUUCCUCAAUUUGGCAUCUUCCAGGCCAUUUUACAUACUUGAGGCCGUCCAAAAUUGCUGGAUCCUGAUAUGGAUCUCUAUCAAAAGGGCACCCGGCCUUUUCAUAGAAUUCUUGGACUAAAGAAACUGCAAGGGAUGUAUUUCCAAGCUGAUGAACUCCUGAAAGACCAAUCAUAUCCGGCGUUAAUUCAGCAGGAGGUAUGACUACCUUAAGUGAUGUAUUUCGUUCAGCAGCACGGUUUUUUAAAACAUUCAUAGCCUCGGGAGCUUGCUCGCAAGUUAAGGCAAUAGCUGAUUCUUUGUAGAUUCCAGCUUUCUGCCAAGCAAUUUCUGCUAUUGUGUUCCCCAACAAAGACGUGUGGUCAAGACCUAAGCUUGUAACUGCUGUGGCAUAUGGUUUUUCAAUUAAGUUUGUAGAAUCGUAUUCACCACCAAUCCCAACUUCAAUGAUAGCGGCAUCGACAUUCUCUGAAAUGAAAACGUGCCAUGCCAUUAGUGUCAAGAAUCGGAAAUACAUUGGCUUUUCCGAAUCACUACCGACAGCAUUCUCUAGGCGCUCCCAUACAUCAAAAAAAUAUUUAGUAAACAACUCUUGACUGAUAGGUUUGCCAUUUAAUUGAAUACGUUCACAGACAGAUCGGAGGUGAGGAGAAGUGUACAUACCAAUGCAUUUUGGAAUCGACCUUUCUCCACUCUUCUGUAUUUGCUGUAAUAUUGAGGAUGUAAAUGCACAUGUAGAACCCUUUCCUUUAGUUCCAGCAACAUGGAUGACAUUUAGUCGGUUCAAAUCUGAUGGCUGAGAUUUAUUAGUUAGUAAAAGUUGCAUGACAGUAUAGAACUAUUAACAAAAAGAUUUCGUAAAGAGAUACAGGCUAAACCAGCCAAGUCAACAAUUCCUAUUGAUAUUUCCCUUUAUAGACAUGAUGUGCUGUCCUUUCAAUGAGAUUAUUAUUAUUAAAAAUAAGGUGAAGUUAAAGAAAGGAUCACAAUCGAGUACUAUAAAGGACAUACAAAUACUUGUUUCAAUCUCGUUUAAUCAUAUGCAGCGGCUUAAAAUA